GCUACCAGCAUGUGCCGUUGCGGCAUCGAUAGUGGGAUCGGUCUCAUCCUCUCUACACGAUCGUUGUACUCGAUCACCUCUUUGGCACAGGUUUGCGGGUGGGUCCGGACGCAUUCGAGUUGGUGUUGCACACG
rnacentral:misc_RNA from 1 species